GGACCAAGGAGUCUAGCAUGUGCGCGAGUCAUUGGGACUCUAUUAAAACCUAAAGGCGUAAUGAAAGUGAAAUAUACUUUGUGAUUUUCGGAUCACAUUGAAUUAAGGGAAGAUGUCACAACCAACCAUGUUGAGACCGCAUUCCCGGGGCGUCGCGUACUUAUUGCAAGUUGCGGCGCACCAAGAGCGUACACGCUGGGACCC
rnacentral:rRNA from 1 species